AUGCAUGUCUAAGUAUAAGCACCAGGUACUGUGAAACUGCGAAUGGCUCAUUAAAUCAGUUAUCGUUUAUUUGAUCGUACGUUCCGAAUUACUUGGAUAUCCGUAGUAAUUCUAGAGCUAAUACAUGCGAAAAGUCCCGACUUCUGGAAGGGACGAUGUUGUUGGAGCAAAAACCGAUCCGGUUUCGGCCGGUCACGAGGGUGAAACAUAGCAACUGAUCGAAUCGCACGGCCUUGCGCCGGCGAUGUCACAUUCAAAUUUCUGCCCUAUCAGCUGUCGAUGGUAAGGUAGCGGCCUACCAUGGCUACAACGGGUGACGGAGAAUUAGGGUUCGAUUCCGGAGAGGGAGCCUGAGAAACGGCUACCACA
rnacentral:rRNA from 1 species